rnacentral:misc_RNA from 1 species
AACGCACCUUGCGCUCCGUGGUAUUCCGAGGAGCAUGCCUGUUUGAGUGUCAUUAAAUUCUCAACCCCUCCAGCUUUUACGAGUUGUGAUGGGGCUUGGAUCUGGGAGCUUGCGGGUCUUUAUCAAUAAAGGUCAGCUCUCCUGAAAUACAUUAGCGGAACCGUUUGCAGUCCCGUCACUAGUGUGAUAAUUAUCUACACUGUGAUGAUUGCUCUCUGACUAGUUCAGCUGCUAAUCGUCCACUAUGGACAACACUUAAUGAACUUCUUGACCUCAAAUCAGGUAGGACUACCCGCUGAACUUAA